GAGGGUCGGGGCUGGACAAGCAGAGACAUGUGCUCAUCCCUCUGCUCUCCUGGACCCCAG
ensembl:miRNA Mir7083 microRNA 7083